GCGGGCCGCAGGUUUAGUCCUGGUUGUGGAGUGAGAUGCUGAGAUGGGUCUGGAGGGAUGCAGGAUGUUCUAGUCCGUUAGGAUGGUAAAUAGGGACCUCGCUCCGCGAAGGAUGCUGAACGGGGUCUGGAAGAAUUCAAGAUGUCCUGGUCCGGGCCAGGAAUGGUUACAUGGAUAGUGGGAUGUCAGAAGGGGAAUUGUAGUGAAUCACCCUUCUAUCCAAUCAACUGACAACACAGCAAUGAUCCCACAUCAUCCCAGCCCGAGAAAAAAUCAGGGUUGGUGCCGGUGCUGAGCAGCUACUGGCCAGGAGCUGGAUGUCAGAUCCCUGGGAGGAUAUGAGAGGAUGUUUCCAGAAAGACCGAACUAAAAAGGAACGUCCAACCCUGAAUGUGGAGGACAUCCUCCUCUGGGCUGGGCUCCCAGACUGAGUAAGAAGAAAAUAAGUUGAGCUCGCCCCCCCCCCCCCAGCGCUGUAGAUACAGUGUGACCAGUUACCAG
ensembl:processed_transcript 2010001A14Rik RIKEN cDNA 2010001A14 gene